rnacentral:rRNA from 1 species
CCCUUAGAUGUUCUGGGCCGCACGCGCGCUACACUGAUGCAUUCAACGAGUCUAAAACCUGGUCUGAUAGGGCUGGGUAAUCUUUUGAAAGUGCAUCGUGAUUGGGAUUGAUGAUUGCAAUUCUUCAUCUUCAACGAGGAAUGCCUAGUAAACGCAAGUCAUCAGCUUGCAUUGAUUACGUCCCUGCCCUUUGUACACACCGCCCGUCGCUCCUACCGAUUGAAUGAUCCGAUGAAUACCACGGAUUGAGAGUACGAAUGGGUUCGCUCAUUUCUGCUGCUCGAGAAGUGGAGUAAAUCUUAUCAUUUAGAGGAAGGAGAAGUCGUAACA